rnacentral:rRNA from 1 species
UACGUAGGGCGCAAGCGUUGUCCGGAAUUAUUGGGCGUAAAGAGCUCGUAGGCGGUUUGUCGCGCCUGCUGUGAAAACCUAAGGCUCAACCUUGGGCUUGCAGUGGGUACGGGCAGACUAGAGUGCGGUAGGGGUGACUGGAAUUCCUGGUGUAGCGGUGGAAUGCGCAGAUACCAGGAGGAACACCGAUGGCGAAGGCAGGUCACUGGGCCGCAACUGACGCUGAGGAGCGAAAGCAUGGGGAGCGAACAGG